rnacentral:pre_miRNA from 14 species
UUUUGUAGACAGAUACCAUGUACUGAAAGACCUCAGAGAGGGGAGACCCUCACUCAAGUCUCGGGAUGAUGCGACCCCCCAAGAACUCACGUGAGACC